GGUAAUAGUAGGUUGUUAGUGGAAUAAAUGGUUAAGAAUUCAAACGGUCAUAACCUUUGAAAUCUGCUGGUCGACGGUCCAUCUUUUGGUAGGAUAAAGAGGUUGAAGAAAGAGAAAUCGAGGCCAGACUAUGAGAGUCGUAAGCCAAGGACCAAACUGUAAGAGUCGUAAGCCAGGGCAAGCUUGGUGCUACCUCUUUUUUGUUACUUUCUUGUUGAUGAGUAAUGGAUAGUUUCUGAAUAUUGAAAAGUUAGUUUAGAGUGCUUGACUAUGAGAGUCGUAAGCCGAGAUAUUGAAUUUUGUGUGAUGAAUUGAAAAACUGAAUACAAUAGAUAAGCUGGAGAUCAGUAAUUGAAUAUAUAUAAACCACAAGGAGAGUAAGUGGAAGAUGAACGGAUAAGAAUAUGGAAGUAUUAUUAAAUUGAUAG
rnacentral:lncRNA from 1 species